rnacentral:rRNA from 1 species
UACAGAGGGGGCAAGCGUUUGUUCGGAAUUACUGGGCGUAAAGGGCGCGUAGGCGGCCUUCUAAGUCGAACGUGAAAUCCCCGGGCUCAACCCGGGAACUGCGUCCGAUACUGGAAGGCUUGAAUCCGGGAGAGGGAUGUGGAACUCCAGGUGUAGCGGUGAAAUGCGUAGAUAUCUGGAGGAACACCGGUGGCGAAGGCGACAUCCUGGACCGGUAUUGACGCUGAGGCGCGAAAGCCAGGGGAGCAAACGGG